AGAGGGGGCAAGCGUUGCUCGGAAUCACUGGGCGUAAAGGGCGCGUAGGCGGGAUGGCAAGUCAGUCGUGAAAUCUCUCGGCUCAACCGAGAAACGUCGGCUGAUACUGCCGUUCUUGAGGGAUGCAGAGGAGACUGGAAUUCCCGGUGUAGCGGUGAAAUGUGUAGAGAUCGGGAGGAACACCGGUGGCGAAGGCGGGUCUCUGGGCAUUUUCCUGACGCUGAGGCGCGAAAGCGUGGGGAGCAAACGGGAUUAGAUACCCCGGUAGUCCACGCUGUAAACGAUGACGACUAGGUGUGGGGUGGGUUAGUCCAUUCCGUGCCGCAGCUAACGCAUUAAGUCGUCCGCCUGGGGAGUACGGCCGCAAGGUUG
rnacentral:rRNA from 1 species